UCCUCUCUCUUCUCUUUCUCUCCUUAAUAAAUCUGGAGAUCAUCACUAAAAUUACACUCUGCCUGAAAACCACUCCUUUUACUCACUCACUUGAAAGCUAGUGGUUUUCCGUUGCCAUUCGUUCCGGUCCUAGCUAUAUACCGGAUCGAAUUUUCACAAACCAAGAAUUACAAAAAUCUUUUUCAUAGUCUAGCAAAUAAAGCGGUGUAUGUGUGGCGGCAACAAAAAAAAAAGAAAAGAGGUGUUGGUGAUAUUCUAAGUUAACCUAACAAUUUCCCUAUUUAAUUUGAGCCACAAAAUUCAGAUAUGUAUUUGACUAUCUUCUACAACCUCAAAAAUCAAUCAUAGCACACACCCAUUACCCAUACACAUACAAAAUAUUACAAAAUAGAAAUAAAACAAACGAACCCAACCACCCCACCUUCUAUCAGCGUGAAUAGAAAGACACCACACAGUAACGACACUAAGGGCUGAUGAAGCUUUAAAGUUCGUCGGAUAUUGGAUUCCAUAAAACCAAGAAAGCCUUCUUCGGUCUAAACCAUAUAUAACAACAAGAAUUGAUGGCAUUUGAUUUCUUUAUAAUCGAUCUAUCAUCAAGUUUCGAUCAUGAUUUCCCCGUUUAAAAAAUGAAAUAAGUGCCCAUAGCCUGUCUAGCAAUCGGAAGUCUUGCUAUCUCAACUAUCCCAUCUUCAAUACAAGUUUUUGAUGAUCCUCAUCAUGUGAGGUAUGCCUUCAUCCUUCAGAAAGAGGAGGUUGAGACUGAGACGGUUCGAGUUGUCAUCGUUGACAACAUGCUCGAGGUCAUUUAGAAGUCUAAAGAUCAGCCUCGACAGACCCUCAAAAGGAAGUUGCCCGAUAGAAGAUACACCGAUGCCGAGUGUAGAGCAUGGCUAGAUAAAGAUUCCAGAAUGUUCUUGGUGGUCGACUUCAAAUGGCACAAAUAAAAUGGUAUCAAAGUAGGUCUUUCUUUCUAUCUUGUUAUGAGUUAUUAAUAUGAUCAUCCAUUUUCAAAUGCUACACAAAAAUUUAGCACAAGUGUUUGAAGCAUUUAGGACUGUACUUAUGUGAAUAAAAAUUAUACCUUACAUACCUGUUAGCUUUAUAUUUUGUAGUGCGUGUUUUGUAUAUUAACAUUUGUCUUGUCCUUUAUGUUUAUUAAGAUUUGGUGAUGGUUUAUCAUGUAA